rnacentral:lncRNA from 1 species
AUGGCAUACGAUGGGUUUAUGGGAUAAAGGUCUUUGCAGGUAUCUUUGUGGUAUAGAUGUUGAGAACACAGCCUCACAGGUACUCAUGAGCGUUGAACUGAUCUAGUAGGGUAUCUUUACAAGAACUAAAAGGAAAUGACAGAGGAAAGGUCAUAAAAGAGAAGGAUCUGUGAAGCUGGUGGAGACCCAGAAUGUAGUCAUGAUGUCAUAAAAGCAAAGAACACUGGAUGCCAACUGAAGCCAGGAGAGGAUUUUCUUGGAAGUUGACAAAGUAGACUUGACUAUAGAAGUAGCAUUACAAAAUCUGCACCUCCAGAACCAGGGACAAAGGAAACUAUUUUGUUGUUAAGAUGACUACAAUGUCUAAGAAAACAAGCUUGAGGGAAUAGUUUCAGCUGCAUUUAAAGUAUAUUUAUGACAGGAAGACAGUGUUCAAAAUGUUUUGCUUAUUGAAAAAAAGCAAUAUGCAGAAAUACAGGUUUGGAAUGAUAUUAUGCUUAGACAACAGAAGAAACUUUCAUCAUCUCCAAACUUAAGUAAAAGAUGUGGUGCUGUGCAUGUGGGAUGCAAAGACUUUACACCCACAUCUAGGAUUGUUGCACCAGACUAAGUUGUAAUAAAGGAGGAGGAAGAACAAACAGUACUUCUGUUUACCCUUGAAUAUGAAAUAUUCCAAGUUAUAUAAGGCAGAAGCUCAGUGCCCUAAGCAUAGCACUGAUGCCAGCUAGUUUCAGUGUUGUUGAUAUUGUCAUGGUUACAGUCAUUAUUACUUCAUGAGAACAGGUGACUCCAGGCUUCUUAAGAUGCUAAAGAGGUGCUAUCUACAGCUGUUUUGCUAGAGUUUAUCUCUCUUGCCAAAGACACUAUUGGAAAAACUAAAAGAAGAAGUUGGAGAUCUGCCAGUUAGCUAUCGAAGUGAUUAACUACAGGAUGCUCCUGCCUCCAGGUUCCUGUCCUGACUUCUCCUAAUAUAAGUCAAGAGGUGUAAGCCAAAUAAAUGCUUCCUUCCCCAACUUAGCUUUUGCUCAUGGUGUGUGCUGCAGAAGACAGAGCCUGGGAAGUGACUACACCCUUUGAAGGAGGCCAGAAUGUCGUGAAUGAAUGCAGCCUUGGAAACCUCUAUUUAUUUCUCUGUCUCCAUGUUUGCAGCUAUGAUACCUGAGCAUAGAAGUCAAGGAUCUACGGCAUGCUGCAACAAAAUGCCAUCAGCUCAGCCCCUAGCAUCAUCUCCCUAAUCCUUGCCAUUACUUUGUUAACAUGUUGCUAUCGCACAGAGAAUUAGAGAUGAAGAAUGAAAGGCUGGGUGAUGUCACCACAGAGCACGUGAGACUUGGAGUUUUUGAUGCACCCAGCGAUGCACAGAGGCUUUGGAGGAAGAAGAUACCCACAGGCUCCUUGCAUGUCUCCAAAGCCAGCUUCCCCGGUGCCUACCCACGGAGGCUAAGCUCUCAGCUACUCUCAAGAAGAGU